UACGUAGGGUCCGAGCGUUGUCCGGAUUUAUUGGGCGUAAAGAGCUCGUAGGCGGUUCAGUAAGUCAGAUGUGAAAACUCAGGGCUCAACCCGGAGACGCCAUCUGAUACUGCUGUGACUUGAGUCUGGUAGGGGAUCACGGAAUUCCUGGUGUAGCGGUGAAAUGCGCAGAUAUCAGGAGGAACACCGAUGGCGAAGGCAGUGAUCUGGGCCAGUACUGACGCUGAGGAGCGAAAGCGUGGGUAGCAAA
rnacentral:rRNA from 1 species